rnacentral:rRNA from 5 species
UAAGCAUAUCAAUAAGCGGAGGAAAAGAAACCAACAGGGAUUGCCCUAGUAACGGCGAGUGAAGCGGCAACAGCUCAAAUUUGAAAUCUGGCGCAAGCCCGAGUUGUAAUUUGUAGAGGAUGCUUCUGGGUAGCGACCGAUCUAAGUUCCUUGGAACAGGACGUCAUAGAGGGUGAGAAUCCCGUAUGUGACCGGCCCGCACCCUUUACGUAGCUCCUUCGACGAGUCGAGUUGUUUGGGAAUGCAGCUCUAAAUGGGAGGUAAAUUUCUUCUAAAGCUAAAUACCGGCCAGAGACCGAUAGCGCACAAGUAGAGUGAUCGAAAGAUGAAAAGUACUUUGGAAAGAGAGUUAAAAAGCACGUGAAAUUGUUGAAAGGGAAGCGCCUGCAACCAGACUUCGCGGCAGUGUUCCGCCGGUCUUCUGACCGGUUCAUUCUCUGUCGCGAGGCCAUCAUCGUCUGGGCCCGCCGGAUAAGACCUUAGGAAUGUAGCUCACCUUCGGGGGAGUGUUAUAGCCUAGGGUGAUGCGGCGAGGCUCGGGCGAGGUCCGCGCUUCGGCAAGGAUGAUGGCGUAAUGGUUGUCGGCGGCCCGUCUUGAAACACGGACCAAGGAGUCUAACAUCUAUGCGAGUGUUCGGGUGUCAAACCCCUACGCGUAAUGAAAGUGAACGGAGGUGGGAACCGCAAGGUGCACCAUCGACCGAUCCUGAUGUCCUCGGAUGGAUUUGAGUAAGAGCAUAGCUGUUGGGACCCGAAAGAUGGUGAACUAUGCCUGAAUAGGGUGAAGCCAGAGGAAACUCUGGUGGAGGCUCGCAGCGGUUCUGACGUGCAAAUCGAUCGUCAAAUUUGGGUAUAGGGGCGAAAGACUAAUCGAACCAUCUAGUAGCUGGUUCCUGCCGAAG